UACGUAGGGGGCAAGCGUUGUCCGGAUUUAUUGGGCGUAAAGAGCUCGUAGGCGGUUUGGUAAGUCGGAUGUGAAAUCUCCAGGCUCAACCUGGAGGGGUCAUUCGAUACUGCCAUGACUAGAGUUCGGUAGGGGAGUGUGGAAUUCCUGGUGUAGCGGUGGAAUGCGCAGAUAUCAGGAGGAACACCAAUGGCGAAGGCAGAUCUCUGGGCCGUAACUGACGCUGAGGAGCGAAAGCAUGGGGAGCGAACAGG
rnacentral:rRNA from 1 species